UACGUAGGGACCGAGCGUUGUCCGGAUUCAUUGGGCGUAAAGAGCUCGUAGGCGGCCACUCAAGUCGAAUGUGAAACCUCGAGGCUUAACCUCGAGCCUGCAUUCGAUACUGGGCGGCUAGAGUCUGGUAGGGGGAUCUGGAAUUCCUGGUGUAGCGGUGGAAUGCGCAGACAUCAGGAGGAACACCGGUGGCGAAGGCGGGAUCCUGGGCCAGUACUGACGCUGAGGAGCGAAAGCGUGGGGAGCAAACAGG
rnacentral:rRNA from 1 species